CGAGUAAUCUAAAGCCAAUUCACUGUUCCAUUCUAGCCCCCAGAGCUUAUCGACUUUCCUUCAAUCUUUUUUCCCUCUUUCCUCCGACGAUCGGACCUUUCUGCAACAGGUUACAUCCACAUGCCAGAUCUGCCAGAGGACCAAUACCAACACCCCCUUAAAAUCCAGACCCUAUCCUUCUCAUCAGGCCUGUGGUUACACCCCAGGAGCUGAUUGGCAAAUUGAUUUCACAAACAUGCCCAAGGUAAAAAACAUCAAAUAUCUCUUAGUACUGGUGGACACAUUCUCAGGGUGGAUAGAGGCAUUUCCCACAUCCAAUAAGCAGGCAUCCACGGUUGUGGACCAGUUGAUAUCUGACAUAAUCCCUCGUUUCGGGGAUGCCCACUUCCAUCCAAUCAGAUAAUGGUCCAGAAUUUACCUCGCAGAUAACUCAGGGGCUAGCUAGCGCAUUAUCACUCCCUUGGCAUUGCCGUUGCCCUUACCAUCCCCAAGCUUCCAGGAAAGUUGAAAGAACUAAUCGGUCUCUCAAAAAACCCUCACCAAGUUCACCAUGGAACUAAGCUUAGACUGGACUAAGGUCCUCCCCUUGGCCCUGUUGCAUCUCAGGGCUUUACCAAAGAAACCAUCCAACCUUUCCCCCCCCCCGCCCCGGAAUACAGACUGAACAAUUACCUAUACCUGAUUCCUACGCUCUACCUCUCCUUUUCCAUCUACGCUCUGAACUUUGGAAAUACCAGGACUGGCUUUUACCUGACCCAACCAUUACUCAAAACCCCCUCACCCUAACACCUGGCCAACAGAUAUAUUACUGCCCCCCCAGGUGAAAGACCCCAACUGCACCCCAAUGGGAGGGCCCCGCCUCGGUUAUCAUGUGCACUCCCUCGGCAGCAAAACUCAGACUCACAAAUAAUCAAUUAACUCCAUGGAUUCACAUUUCCAGGCUCAAACCAUGCAUCCAGGAAACUGAUUCUGACAACAUCGGACCAGAGGACUCGCAAGAAUCCACACCUACAUACUCUUGCUCUCCCCACCCUACUGACCCUUUAAAAAUUCAUCCUUCUCAUGUUUCUGCCCUUACACCCAGAGCUGAGAACAUAUCCGAAAAUGUACCUUAACUUUCUGAUCCUCAUCCUCAUCCUAACCCCAAGGGUAAUGCCUUCACCAUCAUAUGUCUGGAGAUUCAAGGUGAAAAAACAUACAAACAAAAAAACCCGGACCACCCACUUGGCUACCACUUCUGACUGUCCCCUAACAGGGUGCUCCUCGGCCAUCUAUGUUGUACUCUCUUCCUCUUCCUAUGAGCUCAUUAAGCAAGCCAGCCGCCCUUACUUAUGUUUUUUUUAUAUGACCAAAAUAAGGAUUACUGCUAAUAGUGGCCGGAAACCUACAGAGGCUGCCCCUAUUGGUCAUGCAGAAUUCAUGAUGCAUAUUCAGGGCAAUUAAAUGUAGGAAGAUUUAAACUUGAGUCUGCCUCCCACCAAUACAAGCUGACCAUCCCAGACCCUGGGAACCCACGCUGGGCAGCAGGAGUAAAAGCUUCCUUCUAUUGCGGUGGGUAUGCCUCCACUCCCUGUGGUUCCUUAUCUGUUACCUGGAAUAUGUUUCCAUAGAGUCCCCAGUCUCUCUUGUCUCAACCAACACAAAACACUCAGAACAACGGCUGCUCGCAUCCCUAGAAAGCCAAUGCACUUCUGACUCUCAGGCUUCACUGAUCUGUGCCAGGUUACAGAUCAUCACUGACACAUUGUCCUACCUAAACCAAACUUUCCCUGCUGCAAGUCCAGCAAAUUGCUUUCUGUGCGCUUCCCUAGCACGGCUCUUACUUGCCACAGUUCCAAUAAAAGUUUCCAGCGCGGAUGAUUCCAGCUUGUCCAACUCAUCCUACAAAAAGGAUCCUAUUAAACCCCUGCAGAAUGUUCCUUUAUGGGAACCUGAGGAAAAUAACCACACCAUAAUUCCUCGGGUUUGCCUUCUGGGAUCCGCAACUCCCAAUUCCCUUCUGGCAGGUUUUUUUGCCACCACAACCUAAUCAUCAACCACAGCACUUACUCCCCACCAGGUCUCUUUUCUGGUGCAAUGGCACUCUCACCACCAUUAUACUCUCCAACAUGCCUAGCCCAUGUUUAUUAGUCACCAUAGUUCCACAGCUCACUCUCUAUAGCAACUCUGAAGUAAAAUUCAUCCUUAACCCUCUAAAACAUGGAAAACAGGUUGCAUUCCUUCCGUUAGUGAUAGGCAUUUCAUUAACGGCCUCAGCAGCAAGCGCAGGGUUAUCGGGAAGAGCCUUAGGUCAUUCCCUAUGGGCUGUCAAGGACAUUAAUUCAAAACUUAAAGGAGCGCUUUUUUCCACAGCAGAAUCUCUAACAUCCUUACAAAAACAGGUCACCUCAUUGGCACAAGUCACCCUUCAGAAUCGCAGGGCCCUAGAUUUACUCACCACCGAAAAGGGUGGAAACUGUCUUUUCCUUAGGGAAGAAUGCUGUUAUUAUAUCAACGAAUCGGGUCUUGUAGAAGACAAUGUUGUUAAGCUCACUGACCUGGCAGCCACCUUAAGGACCCCAACAAGUCAAAACCUUUUCUCUUCCUUAAUGUCCACUCCCCUUCUGGCAUGGGUAUGGCCUAUCCUUGGACCAUUAUGUGUAAUCUUUUUAAUGUGUCUAUUUUUACCAUGUAUUAUAAAGUUUAUUCAAACUCAAGUAGGUAAAAUCUCUAACCAAACUUUUAACCAGUUUCUACUUAGAAAUUAUCAGCUUCUGGCCACAGAGAAUCAACCGCCUUCUCCAGAGAACAUCCCUCUCAAUGCUGAAAAACCCUUCAAAGGUUCCUGGGAUACCUUCUUGAGAGCGAUAUCUGAUGAUGCCUGGCUUGUACCUGCCGUAGAGACUUAUACCGACUGGACUGAAGUGAUAAUUGACCUUUGGCUACAGGGAAUACUUUGUGAUGUCACAUCUGACCUUAUACCAAUCUUUGCAGCUCUCUUGUGGGGACUUCUAACUUCCCUCCUUCAGACCCCUUCCCUGGCGAUGCCCCCACUCAGCAGGAAGUAGCCAGAACGAAUCGAUGUCCCUUUCCAUAUAAUAACAAAAAAGGGGGAAUGUUGGGAGUCUCCCUGAGAACUCCCCAGGCCUUUCAAACAUGGCGGCAGGCAAGUUGCCAGUGGGCGGAUAACAAGUUGUUUUGAAAACCUUCUAAUUGGCCCUCCUGUCUUCUGUACACGUGGACAGUUCGUGCCCCCCAUGAAUCUUAUGCAGGGCGGACGUGCGUGCACCGUAGGUGAUGACCUGACCUUUACUAUGAUUGGCCCAGGGAGCUUCCUGGUUUAAGAUAACUGACUCUCACUUUCUAUAUAAGCUAGCACCAGCUUUUAGUAAAGUGCUUCAUCUUUGUCACUGCUAUCUGUGUGUGGGCAUUUUAAUCUCCGACGACGAACCUUGGCCUUUCACUAAUGACAUGCAAACCUCUGAAAUAGUCCAUGAAUUGGGAGAAAGCUACAUGGCUGCUUGGCUCCCAGCAAAGAGCAAUGCUGUGUUUCCAAGGCCACAAAACAAACACAGCUAAAUUUUAAAACAUAUCAUAGCAACUGGGAGCCCGAACAUCUGGAGUGCAAACCUCAGCUCUGCAAUUAAUUCUAUGAAUUUGGACACGUCACUUUUCCUCUCUGGGUGUCAACGCCCCUCAUCUGCAAGUGAGUUAUUUAAGCUACUACCUGGCUCAAGCACAUCAAAAAUUUUCAUUCCUUUGUUAUGUCUUCCUUUCCGAGUACUAAAGUAAUUCAGUAGAACUCAAAUUCAUUCACCCUCUUCAUCUUUCUUACUAAAUUAAAAAAAAAAAAAACUCUUUAGACUUUAAUGCUUGCUGUACUUAAAGCAAUAUAUAGUUCAGGAUCCACCAAUGGUCUAUAGAUAGGUGGGUACUUUUUUGCAUCACUUUCUGUUUUUUUAAUAUAAAGAUUUUAUGGUCUUAGCCAGAUGUGGUGGUCAACAACUGUAAUCCCAGAAACUCAGGAGGCUGAGGUUGAAAGGAUCAUAAAUAAGGGCUAGGGGUGUAGCUCAAGGGUAAAGCAAACAUGAGGCCCUGGUUUAAUCCCUAGUCCUGGAAAAAAAGAAAAAGUUUAUGAUCCCAGUCAAUAAACUAUCUUAACCAUGAAACAAUGAAGCAUAUUUGUUUUCCAGACAUGCUUUAAAAACUCCUAGGGCAAAUAUCCCUUCCUGCCUUACAGGGUACAGGAGAACCCCCUGUUUUGGUUGUCAGAUAAGCAUAGUACUUGAUAGGCACAUUUCAGAAGCUAAGAGAAGGGAUGUCACACACCGGCACAGAGCUUUCAGCUUCUAAAAGCAGAUCAAACUCCAGUGUAACACACUAGGAGAACAGACACCUAACCAUACAGCACCUAACCCCAGCCUUGGUCUGAGAUGAGAAGGGAUGAAAAGAAAAAAAAAAAAAUGUUGACAAAACUUGAUGCUGUCACAAUACCAGACCUUAAACUAUAGUACAGAGCAAUAGUAACAAAAACGGCAUGGUAGUGGCACCAAAAUAGACUGGUAAACCACUGGUACAGAAUAGAGGACACAGAGACAAACCCACAUAAGUAUAGUUAUCUCAUUAGACAAAGGCGCCAAAAACAUAUUUUGGAGAAAAGAUAACCUCCUUCAACAAAUGGUUCUGGGAUAACUGUUAAAUCCAUAUGUAGCAAAAUGAAAUUAAACCCCUCUUAUCAUGUACAAAACUCAACUCAAAGUGAAUAAAGGACCUAGGAAUUAGAGCAGAGACCCUGCACCUAAUAGAAGAAAAAGUAGGCUCUAAUCUUCAUCAUGUGGGAUUAGGCCCCUACUCCCUUAACAAGGCCCCUAAAGCACAAGAAAUAAAAUCAAGAAUCAAUAAAUGGGAUGAUUUCAAAUUGAAAAACUGCUUCUCAGCAUGAGAAACAAUCGGUGAGGUGAAGAGAGAGCCUACAGAAUGGGAGCAAAUUUUUACCUCACACAUCAGAGCACUAAUCUCCAGGAUAUAUAAAGAACUCAAAAAACACUAAAAAAAUCAAAUAACCCAAUCAAUAAGUGGGCUAAGGAGCUGAACAAACAUUUCUCAGAAGAUGAUAUACAAUCAAUCAACAAAUACAUGAAAAAAUGUUCAACAUCUCUAGCAAUUAGAGAAAUGCAAGUCAAAACUAUCCUGAGAUUCCAUCUCACUCCAGUCAGAAUGGCAGCUAUCAGGGCUGGGGUUGUGACUCAGUGGUAGAGUGCUUGCCUAGUGCAUUUGAGGCCCUGGGUUCAAUCCUCAACACCACAUAAAAAUAAAUAAACAAAAUAAAGGUAUUGUGUACAACUAAAAAAGUUAAAUAUUUUUUUUUAAAAAAAAAGCUAAAAAAAAAUAAAGAAUGACAGCUAUCAAGAAUACAGACAACAAUGAAUGUUGGUGAGGAUGUGGGGGAAAAGCCCGUGGGACUGCAAAUUGGUGCAGCCAAUCUGGAAAGCAGUAUGGAGGAAAACUUGGAAUGGAACUACCAUUUGACCCAGCUAUCCCACUCCUUGGUUUCUACACAAAGCACUUACAAACAGUAUACUAUAGUAACACAGCCACAUCAAUGUUUAUAGCAGCUCAAUUCACAAUAGCUAAAUUGGGGACCAACCUAGAUGUCCUUCAAUAUAUGAAUGGAUAAAGAAACUGUGGCAUAUAUACACAAUGGACUAUUACUCAGCAUUAAAAGAGAAUAAAAUCAUGGCAUUUGCAGGUAAAUGGAUGGAGCUGAAGAAUAUCAUGCUAAGUGAAGUAAGCCAAUCCCCAAAAAACAAAGGCAGAAUCUUUUCUCUGAUAAGUGGAUACUGAUCCAAAAUGGGGGGCAGGGGCAGAGCAUGGGAGGAAUGGAGGAACUUUGGACAGGGCAAAGGGGAGGGGAGAGGAAGGGAGCGGGUAUGGGGAAAGGAAAGAUGGUGGAAUGAGAUGGACAUCAUUACCCUUGGUACAUGUAUGAAGACACUAAUGGUGUGACUCUAUGUGUACAACCAAAGAAAUGAAAAAUUGAGGUCUAUGUACUAUGAAUUGAAAUACAUUCUGCUGUCAUGUAUAACAAAUUAGAACAAAUAAAUUAAUUUUUUUAACUGAUGCUUAUCGAAUUA
rnacentral:lncRNA from 1 species